UACGGAGGGGGCUAGCGUUGUUCGGAAUUACUGGGCGUAAAGCGUGCGCAGGCGGUUUUGUAAGCCAGAUGUGAAAUCCCCGGGCUUAACCUGGGAAUGGCAUUUGGGACUGCAAGGCUCGAGUGCGGCAGAGGAGACUGGAAUUCCUGGUGUAGCAGUGAAAUGCGUAGAUAUCAGGAGGAACACCGAUGGCGAAGGCAGGUCUCUGGGCUGACACUGACGCUCAUGCACGAA
rnacentral:rRNA from 1 species